UUUGUGUGUAGUUGCGUUCUGCAUUGCAUAUAGCGUCACGGUCGGUUGUAGUUCAUCUAAUAAAAUGAUGUACGCUUACCACGCUGCACCUUGGUCUAAUUCUUUCAUCAACGAACGUGACAAGUUUACAGGUUCACAGGAGCUAUGUUACCGUGUGCUGUCUAUCCGAGACUGCUAAAUAAUUAGCCAUGGCAGUUUCUAAUGAUUCCUCUUUUCAAGAAGGGCUGGAUGAUGAAACAGGACUCUGGAGGUUAAAUAACAAACAAUCCAACAGCAGUGUAUCCCUCAAGCCAUCUGGGGCAUGAACAUCCUGUGCCCGUGUGAUCCGAGAGCAAACGUCCAGUUGUGGAGACUAAAGCACAUCGAUAUUUUGAACAUCGCAGAAAUGAUUUCCCACCGUGCCCAUGAUGAAGUACUCACACGAGGAGCAAUAUGAGUCCACACAAUGAAGUAGCACCUGUCCCUUCCAGUGAUGCGGAGUUGACCUUGGACCUGGUGGCAGUAAGGAUGGUCUUCAUGGAGACGACAACAACUGAUCGGAGGACCCCUUUUUAGCAGCGACAGAGUAACGCGCUUGGCCCUAACCACUGCUCCAUAAUUGCUGGCCAUCAACCUCCCUCUCAUAUUGUGCCAGUUGGGUUUGAUGCGCUGUCCAACUUGCCUGCCGUAUAGCCUCCUGCUGCUCCACCGACAGCAAACAAGCCAGGCAGGAUGUCUGCAUGCCCCAGGUGCGCUUGUUUUUAACCAUGCCGGUACAGACAGGGAUGACAGGGAGGGUAGUGGUUGUUCUGGCACAGAUUCAAGGAGACAUGCCAUUCCACUGAACGGAGAUAGAGGGUUGUAGUCUUCAGCCAAAUAUAGGUCCUCCAUUGACUGCACCUGGUUGGGCCACGGCUGGCUUCCUCCAAUCACAUUCCACAUCCGUAUGGACGAUAUUGUGAACUGCCAUAAUAGGUUGCAUGGCUACACUGAUAAGCUCCAUGGAGGCAUUUGUAUGUGGCAGAGAGAAUCCCCUGGUCACCUAUAGAGACCUGCCGAGAUGAAGGAUGUUACGUGACACAUGUCUUUCAAAGCUUGACUUUGAAGACCUUGAAAUGCAUUUGUUGAAAGAAAUGUGCUAUAUAAAUAAAGUUUGAUUUGAUUGAUGACACUACAGCUGUAGAAUAUUAAUAAACUGUCAUUUUCAUGAGGACAAGUGCAGUUUUUCCAUAAAGUCCCAAGUUAUCAAUUAAAAGUUUAUCACUUGACAUAUAGCUGUGUUCAAAUACCCAUACCCAUUUCAUAAAAGGAUCCUAUAAAUCAA